rnacentral:rRNA from 1 species
UACGUAGGGGGCAAGCGUUGUCCGGAUUUAUUGGGCGUAAAGAGCGUGUAGGCGCCAGACAGGUCCGUUGUGAAAACUCGAGCUCAACCUCGAGACGCCGAUGGAAACCGUCUGGCUAGAGUCCGGAAGAGGAGAGUGGAAUUCCUGGUGUAGCGGUGAAAUGCGCAGAUAUCAGGAAGAACACCCGUGGCAAGGCGGCUCUCGAC